AGCGCGAGCUCGCCGCCCUGCGCGCCGCCGACCGGCGACGCUACAACUUCGACUUUGAGGCGAUGACGCCGCUGGAGGGUCGGUUCGCGUGGCAGCGGAUGGAGGCCGACGCCCUGCCGGCGGAGGGGGCGUGCGGGGCGUCGCGGCGUCUGCAGCUGGACCGCGCCGAUCGCGGGCUGACGACCCCUGACCCGGCCGUUAGGUGCCGCCGACACACAGACUCGACCGUGGUGCGCCGCCUGCUCUCCGCUGUGACGCGGCCACUGAGUCCGUCGCCGAACGGCGGACGUCUGUUGGAGGAGACCGAGGUCGGCAUUUGCAGAGGAGGCUCCGGGCCCGCGGCACGGUGGAGCCCUCAACCGCGACGCGCAUCUGAAGCGGGACAGAGCGUCCCGGAUGCAGUUGCAGCACGUGCGUCACUGCGUCAGAGCAGCAUCUCAGAUUUUACUGUAAGCAGGAAACGGCCUUCGUCUUCUGCGACCUGCUUCGAACGUCCCGGAAAGCUGCAGCACGUAGACUUCGCACCGCGCCUGAAGUCUUCUCUGCAUGUGGACUUCCAACCGCACGUGGAUUCUCCGCGGCAUUUGGAUGCAUCACCGCACAUAGAGUCCCCACUGCACGUGGACUCUCCGUCCCACGUAGAUGUUCCGCGGCGGCCGUCCCUUCCACCAGAUCGGGACACUGUGCUAUCUAGCUGAACCGCCGAUGCUCUGUGCCAUUUAGUGCUGAUCUCAAUACAACAAAACUUGA